rnacentral:tRNA from 1 species
UCCUUCAUAGCUCAGUGGGUAAAGAGUCUGCCUGCAAUGCAGGAGACACAGGUUCGAUUCCUGGAUUGGGAA